AUUAUUCCAUCUAGUUCUUCUAGGGGAACCCGAAAAUCGUUUCCGUGUGCCUGACACGAAAUGCACUUUUUGACAAAAUCUGCACAGUCUUGUUCCAUAGUGGGCCAGUAAUAGCCGGCUCGCAGUAUCUUGGCUCUGAGUGUUCGCUUUCCUGAAUGUGACCCUUAUAUCCCGUGAUGUAAUUCCUGCAUAACAUAUUUG
rnacentral:lncRNA from 1 species